AGUGAACGCUGGCGGCGUGCUUAACACAUGCAAGUCGAACGAGAACGGGCUAUAGCUUGCUAUAGUUGUCAGCUAAGUGGCGCACGGGUGAGUAAUGUAUAGGUAAUAUGCCUCUUACUAAGGGAUAACAAAUGGAAACGUUUGCUAAUACCUUAUACUCCUUAUUAACAGAAGUUAAUAAGGGAAAGAUUUAUUGGUAAGAGAUUAGCCUGUAUUGUAUCAGUUAGUUGGUGGGGUAAUGGCUUACCAAGACUAUGACACAUAACUGGUUUGAGAGGAUGACCAGUCACACUGGAACUGAGACACGGUCCAGACUCCUACGGGAGGCAGCAGUGGGAAAUAUUGCACAAUGGACGAAAGUCUGAUGCAGCAACGCCGCGUGGAGGAUGACACAUUUCGGUGCGUAAACUCCUUUUAUAUGAGAAGAUAAUGACGGUAUUAUAUGAAUAAGCACCGGCUAACUCCGUGCCAGCAGCCGCCGUAA
rnacentral:rRNA from 1 species